AUACGGAGGAUGCGAGCGUUAUCCGGAUUUAUUGGGUUUAAAGGGAGCGUAGGCGGGAGCUUAAGUCAGCGGUUAAAUGGUGCGGCUCAACCGUGCCCUGCCGUUGAAACUGGGUUUCUUGAGAGUGCAAGAGGCGGAUGGAAUUCAUGGUGUAGCGGGUGAAUGCUUAGAUAUCAUGAAGAACUCCGAUUGCGAAGGCAGUCCGCUGGGGCACGUCUGACGCUGAUGCUCGAAGGUGCGGGAAUCAAACAGGAUUAGAUACCCUGGUAGUCCGCACGGUAAACGAUGAUUACCCGCUGUCGGCGGCAGACAGUCGGCGGCCAAGCGAAAGCGAUAAGUAAUCCACCUGGGGAGUACGCCGGCAACGGUGAAACUCAAAGGAAUUGACGGGG
rnacentral:rRNA from 1 species